rnacentral:rRNA from 1 species
AGUGAACGCUGGCGGUAGGCCUAACACAUGCAAGUCGAACGGCAGCACAGUAAGAGUUUGCUCUUACGGGUGGCGAGUGGCGGAUGGGUGAGGAAUACAUCGGAAUCCUCUAUUGCGUGGGGGAUUUCGUAGGGAAACUUACGCUAAUAUCGCAUAUGUCCUACGGGUGAAAGCAGGAGAUCUUCGCACCUUGCGUGACUGAUUGAGCCGAUGUCGGAUUAGCUAGUUGGCGGGGUAAAGGCCCACCAAGGCAACGAACCGUAGCUGGUCUGAGAGGAUGAUCGGCCACACUGGAACUGAGACACGGUCCAGACUCCUACGGGAGGCAGCAGUGGGGAAUAUUGGACAAUGGGCGCAAGCCUGAUGCAGCCAUACCGCGUGAGUGAAGAAGGCCUUCGGGUUGUAAAGCCCUUUUAUUGGGGAAGAAAAGCGGCAGGUUAAUACCCCGCUGUUUUGACGGUACCCAAAGAAUAAGCACCGGCUAACUACGUG